rnacentral:misc_RNA from 1 species
AGGAUCGCUUUUGGUUUCGUCUCUUUUAGCUUUAGAUGAUUCCCACUUUUCUUUAGAAUCGGAAUUCAACCAAAUGGGACGGAACGGCUUGAUUCUUUUUAGUUUCAGAUACAUUGGCGAUCUGUUUAUUGCAUCUUCAGAAAAAAAAGGUGGGGAUUCAUUAUUUUCAUGGGAGAGUGAAGAAAUCUACAUUUUCUGAAACAAGGGCAUGGAUCUGUGUAUUGAUCAACCAGUGUUUAGAAACUAAAAUUUCAAAUUCUGGGAUUAUACCAAUUUGGGGCAUAAAACCAGUAAUCCUGAAGACAAAGUUUAGGUAUCUGAAUUUAUAGCUGAGUUGUUUGAUCGUGAGAUUUUUUGUUUUAAAGGAGCAAGCUUUUUUUAAAAAAAAAUUUUUUAUGUCCCUCUUAUAUUAGAACUAUGUUCUAGGACCUAAUCUGGCUGUGGGAUUUGGAUGGAGCGAAUGGAAGGUGGAUCUGAGAGAACCAAUCAAAUAGAAGAGAGUCAAGCGCAAUUGUUAUGUGGGCUUCCAGAUGACAUUGCUCUUUUCUGCUUGGCAAGAGUGCCUCGCAAGUACCGUACAGUGCUGAAGUGUGUUUGCAGGAGUUGGAGAGACUUACUGUGCAGUGAAGAGUGGCAUGCUUAUCGUAGUAAGCACAAUUUGAGUGAGACUUGGAUAUAUGCAUUGUGUCGUGACAAGUAUGAGCAGAUAUGUUGUUAUGUUCUGGACCCUGAUUUGCCAAGAAGGUGUUGGAAGCUCAUUCAAGGGCUUCCACCCGGCUGUUUGAAGAGAAAAGGCAUGGGUUUUGAAGCACUAGGUAAGAAGCUUUACCUGUUAGGUGGCUGUGGUUGGUUGGAGGAUGCUACUGAUGAGGCCUACUGCUAUGAUGUUUCUAGGAACUCUUGGAGGGAAGCUGCUUCCUUGUCCACUGCAAGGUACUUAUCUUUUUCAAUCGCGCCCCUAUGCAUAAUUAUCUUUACUUUAGUGAUUGUUUAUAAUAUGAGCACGCUACAUAUUGAUUGAAAUUUGGGGUGCUUCAGUAUUUUUUGCUUUUGUUUCAUGCAAUUUCAAGAAUUAAUUACACGUCCCAUCCUUUGGGAGGAGUAAUAAGUAAUAACUAUUAAGAAUAGCCUGUGUUAUCAAUUAUGAUAAGCUAUUGUAAUUUGGUUCUGCAUUCAUCUCAUGGUCAAACCAAUAAAAAUAUUGCCUUCUAAAAAUUUGUUUCCCAAUGUUUGUCUAAUUUCACAAAAUGAUUUAGCUACUUGCUAAUGGAAUUUGUAUCCCUAAGUUGGUAGGCUAUACAUGCGCAAUUGUGCAUGAAGUAGGCCACUGAAUUUGAAUUACAGUUUCUUUUUUCUUUUUUGUUUCAUUUUUCUUUCCUUCAAGAAAUUUAUGAACAAUCAUGUUUAUGUGAAAUGGCCUAACACUUCAUUUCAGGUGCUAUUUUGCUUGUGAAGUUUUGGAUGGGAAAAUAUAUGCCAUUGGUGGGUUAGGCUCGAAAUCAAGUGAUCCACAUUCUUGGGACACGUUUGAUCCUCACAAGAAUAGUUGGGAAUCACAUUCUGAUACUAAUGUUGUUCCUGACGUUGAAGAUUCCACUGUCUUGGAUGGGAAGAUUUAUAUUCGAUGUGGUGCUUCUGCUGUGUCUUCUCAUGUAUAUGCUGUUCUUUAUGAACCUUCAAAUGGUACAUGGCAGCACGCAGAUGCUGAUAUGGUGUCAGGCUGGCGGGGUCCAGCAGUUGUUGUGGAUGGUGUCCUUUAUGUCUUGGAUCAGAGUUCAGGAACCAGGCUGAUGUUGUGGCAGAAGGAUAAAAGGGAUUGGGUGGCAGUUGGAAGGCUGUCACCAUUACUUACAAGACCACCUUGUCGGCUCGUAGCAAUUGGGAAGAGGAUAUUUAUCAUAGGCAAGGGACUUAGCACAGUGGUGUUUGACAUUGAGAAAACUGUAAAUAUGGAAGGGGUAAUGGUCAGUUCUUCUAUCCCCAGAUUAAAUUCUGAAGAUGAUGUAAUCAGCUGUAAAUGUCUAGCAUUAUGAAUUACCAGCACUCAGAGUCGUUUGUUGAUACUGUAGUCCAAUGCCAUUGUUGUGAGAUACUCUGUUUGUGAUACUCUAUGCUAACUUAUGUUGACACUGGCGAGAGAUACCCUGAUUGUUCUAACCUUCUACAUACACUGGUCAAUAUCUGUGAGAAAUGAUAUUCAUUCAAUGUAUGUGACAGAAAACGUGAAGACAUAAGAAUCAAUACAAGGCUAUUUUUCUUU